rnacentral:rRNA from 1 species
CCUACGGGGGGCAGCAGUGGGGAAUAUUGCACAAUGGGGGAAACCCUGAUGCAGCGACGCCGCGUGAAGGAUGAAGUAUUUCGGUAUGUAAACUUCUAUCAGCAGGGAAGAAAAUGACGGUACCUGACUAAGAAGCCCCGGCUAACUACGUGCCAGCAGCCGCGGUAAUACGUAGGGGGCAAGCGUUAUCCGGAUUUACUGGGUGUAAAGGGAGCGUAGACGGCAUGGCAAGUCUGAUGUGAAAACCCGGGGCUCAACCCCGGGACUGCAUUGGAAACUGUCAGGCUAGAGUGUCGGAGAGGCAA